rnacentral:lncRNA from 1 species
ACCCACCCCUGUGACACCGAAGACACAGUCUCACUAUGCAACCCAUGUUGGACAUGAACUCACAACCCUGCUUCAGCCUCCCAAAGGCUGGAGUUAGAGGCAUGAGCCUUCCAGUCCAGUUUAUAUUCCUGCUUUCUUCUUGUUUGGAGGAGACAUGGACAGAAAGGAUCUCAGAGGAGGACAAAGGAGAGACUAACAGUGAGAGGCGAACAAUGUGAGGGACUGGGCUGAUAGGAACUCAAGGGUCAUCACAAUGCAGCCGAGAAGAUACAUGUGAUAAAGUCAUGAUGUCUAGUUUGGCAUUAUUGGAAAGGAGGUAAAGCCUGGGGAAGAAGGCUUUAAGUCAUUGGGAACAUGCCUUCUGAAGAGAUGGUGGGACACAAAUCUCCUGUCUGCUUCUCUCUGUUUCUCCCUGUGGAUGUUUCUCUUCUCCAUAUCUCCAACCCCAGCCACUUUUAUAUAUCAGCAUGUCUUGCUCCUCCUGUGUUUCCUGGU